rnacentral:rRNA from 1 species
GUGCCAGCCGCCGCGGUAAUACGUAGGGUGCGAGCGUUGUCCGGAAUUACUGGGCGUAAAGAGCUCGUAGGUGGUUUGUCGCGUUGUUCGUGAAAUCUCACGGCUUAACUGUGAGCGUGCGGGCGAUACGGGCAGACUGGAGUACUGCAGGGGAGACUGGAAUUCCUGGUGUAGCGGUGGAAUGCGCAGAUAUCAGGAGGAACACCGGUGGCGAAGGCGGGUCUCUGGGCAGUAACUGACGCUGAGGAGCGAAAGCGUGGGGAGCGAACAGGAUUAGAUACCCUGGUAGUCCACGCCGUAAACGGUGGGUACUAGGUGUGGGUUUCCUUCCUUGGGAUCCGUGCCGUAGCUAACGCAUUAAGUACCCCGCCUGGGGAGUACGGCCGCAAGGCUAAAACUCAAAGGAAUUGACGG